rnacentral:lncRNA from 15 species
UUACAGCAUUGUAGAGCCACAUUCAUUCAAAGACCAACUGUGGUUCUGGAUAAACAACAUACAGUUGCGUGUGCCAGACUCAGUGGUCCUGUUGGUGGGAACACACUGUGACCAGUGCAGAGACCAGGAGGAAGUGAUGGAGAAGAAGAAAGACAUAGAGGAGAAGACCAGCUUGAUGAGCUGGAUUGUCUCUUGGAAUACAAUUUGAAGGUUCUGGAUCUUUUAACCAUUGACUGCACAAGGACUGAGGAUAUAGCAAAACUGAAAAGUCAUAUUUUGAUGUGCAUUCAAUCAGAGAAUGAGUUUCUGUGCUCUGAGAGCAUCUUACCAAAAAGUUAUGAAGUGGUGGAGCAAGCCAUUCAUACACUUGUUACACUUCAAGAAAUUCCCCAACAUGGUAUUAUUCUACUUGAAGAACUGAGUGAUUUAAUUCUAAACCAUGUUAACAUGAGCAAAGAGAGUCUCCACUCCAUCUUACGAUUCCUCUUGCGAUACCUGCAUCGGAUUGGGGUGAUCAUUUGGUAUGAAGAUAUUAGUAUACUCAGUGACAGAGUGUUUAUCCAGCCUUCAUUCCUCAUCUCAAUGUUCAAGACCAUUGUGAGACAUGACCUGCUGCAGCAGCUGGAGGGACUCUCCAAAGACCUUCUCAUGCAGGAGGGGGCUCUGGUGAAACAGAGGUUCACCUGGGUGGAUGACCUGAUCUGCAAAGGCAUCCUGCACAACGCAACAAUGCGCAUCUUGGUCCGCAGAGAGUUAGAGAAACUGGUUGUGGACGAUGACGACUUGGUCAGAGAGGUGGUGGGAACCAAAAGGGAGGAAGGCAUAAUACUCACCCUACUGCUGUUCUUUGAGGUCUGCCUUCCCACUUUUGUUGGAAGCCCCCUGAACCCUCAAGCACCAGAGUUCAUCCCUGGUGAGAAACAGUGGGAGUUAGUCAGGGAGGCCAAGAGGGAUCCGGACGGAGCCUGUCUCUUCCCCGUCUACCUGAAGGACGACCUCAUAGUGUGCCACAAGUGGGGUGAGGACAGACAAGAUGACAUCAGUGUUCACUUGUACUUCCUUCCUGAGAUUCCUCACGGCUUCUUCCACAGAUUGAUCAUCAAGACAUGCUCCCUGUACUCGACUCACUGGGUGGGUAAAGAGCAGUGUCUCCUCUGCUGUGGAAACAGACUGGCUCUGGUGAAACAGAAUAAUAGAGAUGAAGAUCCGUUCAUAGAGAUACGCUGCAGGAGACCUGAGAAGGAUGAAGAGUUUCGACCGCUGUGGGAUCUGAUCUUGGCGGUGAUGUCCAAGCUGUUUGUUCUGUCCAGGCAGUGGCCAGGACUGGCUCAGCAGGUGCACACACCCUGUCCAGAGAGAGGCUGUCCACACUACUUCCCCUGGAGAGACUGUCAGGAGUUCCACAACACUGACUUCUACAACCUUGUGAAGGAGGAGAAAUUAGUUUGCCAGGGAGGCCAUACACGGCGGACAGAGCUGAUUUUUCCAAAACAUAAAUAA